rnacentral:rRNA from 1 species
AAAUUGAAGAGUUUGAUCAUGGCUCAGAUUGAACGCUGGCGGCAGGCCUAACACAUGCAAGUCGAGCGGUAGCACAGAGAGCUUGCUCUCGGGUGACGAGCGGCGGACGGGUGAGUAAUGUCUGGGAAACUGCCUGAUGGAGGGGGAUAACUACUGGAAACGGUAGCUAAUACCGCAUAAUGUCGCAAGACCAAAGUGGGGGACCUUCGGGCCUCAUGCCAUCAGAUGUGCCCAGAUGGGAUUAGCUAGUAGGUGGGGUAACGGCUCACCUAGGCGACGAUCCCUAGCUGGUCUGAGAGGAUGACCAGCCACACUGGAACUGAGACACGGUCCAGACUCCUACGGGAGGCAGCAGUGGGGAAUAUUGCACAAUGGGCGCAAGCCUGAUGCAGCCAUGCCGCGUGUGUUAAGAAGGCCUUCGGGUUGUAAAGCACUUUCAGCGGGGAGGAAGGCGUUAAGGUUAAUAACCUUGGCGAUUGACGUUACCCGCAGAAGAAGCACCGGCUAACUCCGUGCCAGCAGCCGCGGUAAUACGGAGGGUGCAAGCGUUAAUCGGAAUUACUGGGCGUAAAGCGCACGCAGGCGGUCUGUCAAGUCGGAUGUGAAAUCCCCGGGCUCAACCUGGGAACUGCAUUCGAAACUGGCAGGCUAGAGUCUUGUAGAGGGGGGUAGAAUUCCAGGUGUAGCGGUGAAAUGCGUAGAGAUCUGGAGGAAUACCGGUGGCGAAGGCGGCCCCCUGGACAAAGACUGACGCUCAGGUGCGAAAGCGUGGGGAGCAAACAGGAUUAGAUACCCUGGUAGUCCACGCCGUAAACGAUGUCGAUUUGGAGGUUGUGCCCUUGAGGCGUGGCUUCCGGAGCUAACGCGUUAAAUCGACCGCCUGGGGAGUACGGCCGCAAGGUUAAAACUCAAAUGAAUUGACGGGGGCCCGCACAAGCGGUGGAGCAUGUGGUUUAAUUCGAUGCAACGCGAAGAACCUUACCUGGUCUUGACAUCCACAGAACUUUCCAGAGAUGGAUUGGUGCCUUCGGGAACUGUGAGACAGGUGCUGCAUGGCUGUCGUCAGCUCGUGUUGUGAAAUGUUGGGUUAAGUCCCGCAACGAGCGCAACCCUUAUCCUUUGUUGCCAGCGGUCCGGCCGGGAACUCAAAGGAGACUGCCAGUGAUAAACUGGAGGAAGGUGGGGAUGACGUCAAGUCAUCAUGGCCCUUACGACCAGGGCUACACACGUGCUACAAUGGCAUAUACAAAGAGAAGCGACCUCGCGAGAGCAAGCGGACCUCAUAAAGUAUGUCGUAGUCCGGAUUGGAGUCUGCAACUCGACUCCAUGAAGUCGGAAUCGCUAGUAAUCGUAGAUCAGAAUGCUACGGUGAAUACGUUCCCGGGCCUUGUACACACCGCCCGUCACACCAUGGGAGUGGGUUGCAAAAGAAGUAGGUAGCUUAACCUUCGGGAGGGCGCUUACCACUUUGUGAUUCAUGACUGGGGUGAAGUCGUAACAAGGUAACCGUAGGGGAACCUGCGGUUGGAUCACCUCCUUACCUUAAAGAA